GGCAGCGCGGGUAGCAAUACCUGGCGGCGACCGGCAAACGGGUGCGGAACACGUACGCAACCUUCCUUUAAGCGGUGAAUAGCCCAGGGAAACUUGGAUUAAUACACCAUAAGACAGUGGAGUGGCAUCACUCAGCUGUUAAAGCUCCGGCACUUAAAGAUGGGCGUGCGGCUGAUUAGGUAGUUGGCGGGGUAACGGCCCACCAAGCCGACGAUCAGUAACUGGUGUGAGAGCACGACCAGUCACACGGGCACUGAGACACGGGCCCGACUCCUACGGGAGGCAGCAGUAAGGAAUAUUGGUCAAUGGACGCAAGUCUGAACCAGCCAUGCCGCGUGGAGGAUGAAGGCCCUCUGGGUUGUAAACUUCUUUUAUCUGGGAAGAAACCGGACUUUUCUAAGGCCGUUGACGGUACCAGAUGAAUAAG
rnacentral:rRNA from 1 species